rfam:Lipomyces starkeyi NRRL Y-11557 unplaced genomic scaffold LIPSTscaffold_9, whole genome shotgun sequence.
GCCUUGAUGGCCAAGUUGGUAAGGCGCAGCACUAGUAAUGCUGAGAUCAUCGGUUCAAAUCCGUUUCAAGGCA